rnacentral:lncRNA from 1 species
GGAUAAUUGGAAAGUCCCUGUGUGUCAACCUCUGUGAUUCGUGGCAAGGUAGACUAGCAAACAUGCCCAACAUUUACUCACAUUCGAGAAAACACUCCCAAUAAGAUUGCUUGCUCCAAAAUCGAAGAGGCACCGUCCUCCGAAUCUUGAGAGCCAGACUCCCAACAUGACUACUUUCUUAAAAAUCGAAGAGAGGGUAAAGGAACAGUACCAUUGCUGGAUAAUUGGAAAGUCCCUGUGUGUCAACCUCUGUGCUUCGUGGCAAGGUAGACUAGCAAACAUGCCCAACCUUUACUCACAUUCGAGAAAAUACUCCCAACAAGAUUGCUUGCUCCAAAAUCGAAGAGGCACCGCCCUCCGAAUCUCGAGAGCCAGACUCCUAACAUGAUUACUUUCUCAAAAAUCGAAGAGACACUGCUCCCCGAAUCUUCGAGAGCCAGACCCCCAGCAUGAUUGCUUUCUCAAAAAUCGAUGAGGCAUCGUUCUCCGAAUCAAUCGAAGAGGCGCUCGCUUUCUCAAAAGCUGGGCUGCU